rnacentral:tRNA from 1 species
GGCCAGUUAGCUCAAUCGGUUGAACAGGGUACUGUUAACACCAAGGUUGCAGGUUCAAUUCCUGUUCAGUCCC